rnacentral:rRNA from 1 species
UACGUAGGGCGCAAGCGUUGUCCGGAAUUAUUGGGCGUAAAGAGCUCGUAGGCGGCUUGUCACGUCGGGUGUGAAAGCCCGGGGCUUAACCCCGGGUCUGCAUUCGAUACGGGCUAGCUAGAGUGUGGUAGGGGAGAUCGGAAUUCCUGGUGUAGCGGUGAAAUGCGCAGAUAUCAGGAAGAACACCAAUGGCGAAGGCAGCUCUCUGGGACGGUACUGACACUGAGACGCGAAAGCGUGGGGAGCGAACAGG